GAUGAACGCUGGCGGCGUGCUUAACACAUGCAAGUCGAACGAGAAGUGAAGACGGAAACCUUCGGGCGGAAGGCUUUAUUUCGAGUGGCGGACGGGUGAGUAACGCGUGGGUAACCUGCCUCAUACAGGGGGAUAACAGUUGGAAACGACUGUUAAUACCGCAUAAGACCACAGCACCGCAUGGUGCGGGGGUAAAAACUCCGGUGGUAUGAGAUGGACCCGCGUUCGAUUAGCCAGUUGGCGGGGUAACGGCCCACCAAAGCGACGAUCGAUAGCCGAUCUGAGAGGAUGACCGGCCACAUUGGGACUGAGACACGGCCCAAACUCCUACGGGAGGCAGCAGUGGGGAAUAGUGCACAAUGGGGGAAACCCUGAUGCAGCGACGCCGCGUGAGUGAAGAAGUAUUUCGGUAUGUAAAGCUCUAUCAGCAGGGAAGAAAAUGACGGUACCUGAGGAAGAAGCCCCGGCUAACUACGUG
rnacentral:rRNA from 1 species